rnacentral:rRNA from 1 species
UGGGGAAUAUUGGACAAUGGGGGAAACCCUGAUCCAGCCAUGCCGCGUGAAUGAUGAAGGCCUUCGGGUUGUAAAGUUCUUUUAGUAGGGACGAUGAUGACGGUACCUACAGAAUAAGCUCCGGCUAACUUCGUGCCAGCAGCCGCGGUAAUACGAAGGGAGCUAGCGUUGUUCGGAAUUACUGGGCGUAAAGGGCGCGUAGGCGGUUUAGUAAGUCAGAUGUGAAAGCCCCGGGCUUAACCCGGGAACUGCGUUUGAGACUACUAGACUUGAAUUUGGAAGAGGUAAGUGGAAUUCCCAGUGUAGAGGUGAAAUUCGUAGAGAUUGGGAAGAACAUCCGUGGCGAAGGCGGCUUACUGGACCAACAUUGACGCUGAGGCGCGAAAGCGUGGGGAGCAAACAGG